GAUGAACGCUGGCGGCGUGCUUAACACAUGCAAGUCGAACGGAAAGGCCCAAGCUUGCUUGGGUACUCGAGUGGCGAACGGGUGAGUAACACGUGGGUGAUCUGCCCUGCACUUCGAGAUAAGCCUGGGAAACUGGGUCUAAUACCGGAUAGGACCACAUUUUGGAUGGUGUGGUGGAAAGUUUUUCGGUGUGGGAUGAGCUCGCGGCCUAUCAGCUUGUUGGUGGGGUAAUGGCCUACCAAGGCGUCGACGGGUAGCCGGCCUGGGAGGGUGUACGGCCACAUUGGGACUGAGAUACGGCCCAGACGCCUACGGGAGGCAGCAGUGGGGAAUAUUGCACAAUGGGCGCAAGCCUGAUGCAGCGACGCCGCGUGGGGGAUGACGGCCUUCGGGUUGUAAACUCCUUUCGCUAGGGACGAAGCGUUUUUGUGACGGUACCUGGAGAAGAAGCACCGGCUAACUACGU
rnacentral:rRNA from 1 species